CCAUUCGUCAAAGUGGCUCUGAUGUGUUCUGUCAGUGUUUUUUUCAUAUCACAGCCAGCUUUGAUGAGUAGAA
rnacentral:pre_miRNA from 1 species